GUGGGUGCCUGUGCUCCCAGCGCUAGGGCUGUAGCGCGGAACGCGUCCCUCCCGCUCCCCCGGGGCUGACGCACGCCCUCAUGGCGCGCGCAUCCUCCAGACCUUCCCAGGCCAGAGGGAGGAGGCGGGGGAGGGGAAGGGGCUGCUGCAGUUCCCGCACCGGGAUCCGGGACCCGAGGAGGAGACCCGCCUAUCACGCGCCGCCCGCGGAGGGCAGAGGAGGCAGCUCCUACCAGGCGUCCCAGACCGUCCCAGCUGCCGGGCGUCUCCCGCUGCAGCCUGCAGCCCGCCCGGCGCGCCCCCGCCUCAACCCCGGAGGGCAGGCGUCUCUCCUCGACCCCCAUCUCGUGGGGUAUCCCCCGCUCGGAUCCACCGCCCAGAGUGACCCCGCCCCUACUCCCCGGCAGGUGUUCCACGUGGCGAUAGGGUUUGCGUCACAAUGACCUGGCUGACAGGUGGGAGCCAAGGCGUACACCCCAGGGUUCCCUCCGUGCUGUGCCUAGUGCCUGCUGCUUGCUUCUAGGUUAAAUUUCUGUGGCUUUAGAGGACAGGAGGCUUCAUGACUUUGCCAAGAAAAGUUAGAGGCCUGCUGUACCUGGAAAUCAAAUUUGAGCUUAAAGAAUAAAGGCCAUAUUUUAAAAACAGCUGUGAAAGAACCAAACCAUUGUUUCUGGAGACCCUGCAGUGUACAGAUCACAGGAAGAAAAAGUGUUGGCAUAGUUGCUUCCUAAUGUUACCUAUGUGGAAAUGAGACCUCAGUGUGCAAUUA